rnacentral:rRNA from 1 species
GAUGAACGCUGGCGGCGUGCCUAAUACAUGCAAGUCGAGCGAACAUACGAGGAGCUUGCUCCUCUGACGCUAGCGGCGGACUGGUUAGCAACACUUGGAUAACCUACCUAUAAGACUGGGAUCACUUCGGGAAACCGGAGCUAAUACCUGAUAAUAUAUUGAACCGUAUUUUUCAAUUGUGAAAGACGGUUUUGCUGUCACUUAUCGAUGGUUCCGCGCCGCAUUAGCUAGUUGGUAAGGUCACGGCUUACCAAGGCAACGAUGCGUAGCCGAGCGGAGAGGGUGAUCGGACACACUAGAAGGGAAACGCGGUACAGACUCCUACGGGAGGGAGCAGUAGGGAAAGGUCCGCAAUGGGCGGAAGCAUGACGGAGCAACGCCGCGUGAGUGAUAGAGGUCAUCGGAUCGUGAUACUCUGUUAUUAGGGAAGAACAGAUGUGUAAGUGACUAUGCACGUCUUGACGGUACCUAAUCAGAAAGCAACGGCUAACUACGUG